GGUUGUAUAGUGUAGUGGUGAUCACAUCGGAUUCUGAUAUGCAAGUUAAGCUUUCCGGGAACCCCGGUUCGAUCCCGGGUACGACCU